CAAACUCCGGAGGUACUCGGAGUUCUUCAAGCGAUCCGUUAGAACCUGGAGGGGAACGCGAACACAAAGGUGAGAGUAGUAGCAACAAUUUAGAUGCCGACAAGGACCAUCUUGCAACCUUGUCCUUGAAUGCGUCAGCAUCCAUGUCAGCAACGGGUUGAAUUAAAACAUUCUACUUACAUGCAGCAGGUACUUCAUAUAUACAUUGCAUUG
rnacentral:misc_RNA from 1 species